AGUGAACGCUGGCGGCGUGGAUUAGGCAUGCAAGUCGAACGAUACCGCAAGGUAUAGUGGCAAAAGGGCGAGUAACACGUGAGAAAUUUACCUUUGAGUGGGGAAUAACCUUGGGAAACCAUGGCUAAAACCGCAUAAGACCACGACAGGGCAUCCUGUUGUGAUCAAAAGGGGGGACCGCAAGGCCUCUUGCUUAAAGAUGAUCUCGCGUCCUAUCAGCUAGUUGGCGGGGUAAUGGCCCACCAAGGCUUUUGACGGGUAGCUGGACUGAGAGGUUGGUCAGCCGCAUUGGGACUGAGACACGGCCCAGACUCCUACGGGAGGCAGCAGUGGGGAAUAUUGCACAAUGGGCGAAAGCCUGAUGCAGCAACGCCGCGUGAGGGAUGAAGGCCUUCGGGUUGUAAACCUCUUUUAGCAGGGAAGAAGCGAAAGUGACGGUACCUGCAGAAAAAGCACCGGCUAACUACGUGCCAGCCGCCGCGGUAA
rnacentral:rRNA from 1 species